UACAGAGGUCUCAAGCGUUGUUCGGAUUCAUUGGGCGUAAAGGGCGCGUAGGCGGCUUUAUAAGUCGGGGGUGAAAGCCUGUGGCUCAACCACAGAAUUGCCUUCGAUACUGUAGAGCUUGAGACCGGAAGAGGUUAGUGGAACUGCGAGUGUAGAGGUGAAAUUCGUAGAUAUUCGCAAGAACACCAGUGGCGAAGGCGGCUGACUGGUCCGGUUCUGACGCUGAGGCGCGAAAGCGUGGGGAGCAAACAGG
rnacentral:rRNA from 1 species